rnacentral:rRNA from 1 species
CCUACGGGAGGCAGCAGUGGGGAAUCUUGCGCAAUGGGCGAAAGCCUGACGCAGCCAUGCCGCGUGAAUGAUGAAGGUCUUAGGAUUGUAAAAUUCUUUCACCGGGGACGAUAAUGACGGUACCCGGAGAAGAAGCCCCGGCUAACUUCGUGCCAGCAGCCGCGGUAAUACGAAGGGGGCUAGCGUUGCUCGGAAUUACUGGGCGUAAAGGGAGCGUAGGCGGAUAGUUUAGUCAGAGGUGAAAGCCCAGGGCUCAACCUUGGAAUUGCCUUUGAUACUGGCUAUCUUGAGUAUGGGAGAGGUAUGCGGAACUCCGAGUGUAGAGGUGAAAUUCGUAGAUAUUCGGAAGAACACCAGUGGCGAAGGCGGCAUACUGGCCCAUUACUGACGCUGAGGCUCGAAAGCGUGGGGAGCAAACAGGAUUAGAUACCCUGGUAGUCCACGCUGUAAACGAUGAGUGCUAGUUGUCGGCAUGCAUGCAUGUCGGUGACGCAGCUAACGCAUUAAGCAUCCGCCUGGGGAAGUACGGUCGCAAGNUUAAAGUCNCAAAGGAAUUGACGGCGNGAGAGNGCGAGACGACGACGAGGAGGAGG